rnacentral:rRNA from 1 species
GGACGAACGCUGGCGGCGUGCUUAACACAUGCAAGUCGAACGGUGAUCUCAGAGCUUGCUCUGGGUGAUCAGUGGCGAACGGGUGAGUAACACGUGAGUAACCUGCCCUUGACUCUGGGAUAACUCCGGGAAACCGGGGCUAAUACUGGAUACGAGAUGCGACCGCAUGGUCUGUGUCUGGAAAGUUUUUCGGUCAAGGAUGGACUCGCGGCCUAUCAGCUUGUUGGUGGGGUAACGGCCCACCAAGGCGUCGACGGGUAGCCGGCCUGAGAGGGCGACCGGCCACACUGGGACUGAGACACGGCCCAGACUCCUACGGGAGGCAGCAGUGGGGAAUAUUGCACAAUGGGCGAAAGCCUGAUGCAGCGACGCCGCGUGAGGGAUGAAGGCCUUCGGGUUGUAAACCUCUUUCAGUAGGGAAGAAGCGAAAGUGACGGUACCUGCAGAAGAAGCGCCGGCUAACUACGU